rnacentral:rRNA from 1 species
GACGAACGCUGGCGGCGUGCUUAACACAUGCAAGUCGAACGAAGAGCGAUGGAAGCUUGCUUCUAUCAAUCUUAGUGGCGAACGGGUGAGUAACGCGUAAUCAACCUGCCCUUCAGAGGGGGACAACAGUUGGAAACGACUGCUAAUACCGCAUACGAUCCAAUCUCGGCAUCGAGACUGGAUGAAAGGUGGCCUCUAUUUAUAAGCUAUCACUGAAGGAGGGGAUUGCGUCUGAUUAGCUAGUUGGAGGGGUAAUGGCCCACCAAGGCGAUGAUCAGUAGCCGGUCUGAGAGGAUGAACGGCCACAUUGGGACUGAGACACGGCCCAGACUCCUACGGGAGGCAGCAGUGGGGAAUCUUCCGCAAUGGACGAAAGUCUGACGGAGCAACGCCGCGUGAGUGAUGACGGCCUUCGGGUUGUAAAGCUCUGUUAAUCGGGACGAAUGGUUCUUGUGCAAAUAGUGCGAGGAUUUGACG